rnacentral:rRNA from 1 species
CCUACGGGGUGCAGCAGUGGGGAAUAUUGCACAAUGGGCGCAAGCCUGAUGCAGCCAUGCCGCGUGUAUGAGGAAGGCCUUCGGGUUGUAAAGUACUUUCAGCGGGGAGGAAGGUGUUGUGGUUAAUAACCACAGCAAUUGACGUUACCCGCAGAAGAAGCACCGGCUAACUCCGUGCCAGCAGCCGCGGUAAUACGGAGGGUGCAAGCGUUAAUCGGAAUUACUGGGCGUAAAGCGCACGCAGGCGGUCUGUCAAGUCGGAUGUGGAAUCCCCGGGCUCAACCUGGAACUGCAUUCGAAACUGGCAGGCUAGAGUCUUGUUGAGGGGGGUAGAAUUCCAGGUGUAGCGGUGAAAUGCGUAGAGAUCUGGAGGAAUACCGGUGGCGAAGGCGGCCCCCUGGACAACGACUGACGCUCAGGUGCGAAAGCGUGGGGAGCAAACAGGAUUAGAUACCCGGGUAGUC